AACAGGAUUAGAUACCCUGGUAGUCCACGCCCUAAACGAUGUCAACUGGUUGUUGGGAGGGUUCCUUCUCAGUAACGUAGCUAACGCGUGAAGUUGACCGCCUGGGGAGUACGGCCGCAAGGUUGAAACUCAAAGGAAUUGACGGGGACCCGCACAAGCGGUGGAUGAUGUGGUUUAAUUCGAUGCAACGCGAAAAACCUUACCUACCCUUGACAUGCCAGGAAUCUUGCAGAGAUGUGAGAGUGCUCGAAAGAGAACCUGGACACAGGUGCUGCAUGGCCGUCGUCAGCUCGUGUCGUGAGAUGUUGGGUUAAGUCCCGCAACGAGCGCAACCCUUGUCAUUAGUUGCUACGAAAGGGCACUCUAAUGAGACUGCCGGUGACAAACCGGAGGAAGGUGGGGAUGACGUCAGGUCAUCAUGGCCCUUAUGGGUAGGGCUACACACGUCAUACAAUGGCCGGGACAGAGGGCUGCCAACCCGCGAGGGGGAGCUAAUCCCAGAAACCCGGUCGUAGUCCGGAUCGCAGUCUGCAACUCGACUGCGUGAAGUCGGAAUCGCUAGUAAUCGCGGAUCAGCUUGCCGCGGUGAAUACGUUCCCGGGUCUUGUACACACCGCCCGUCACACCAUGGGAGCGGGUUCUGCCAGAAGUAGUUAGCCUAACCGCAAGGAGGGCGAUUACCACGGCAGGGUUCGUGACUGGGGUGAAGUCGUAACAAGGUAACC
rnacentral:rRNA from 1 species